GGUGUUGUCGGCUCUGUUUCCUCACCUGGAGAGAGACACGUGGACUUGUGAACUUGAAGAAAGGCAUAAUUCAGUUCCUUGCCACUCUGACAUAAUGGGAUGAUGUGCCCUCCUGCUGGAACCACAGGAGUGAGCUUCCCCAGCCCAUCAAGUGGUUAAACAGAUCUCAGAUGCACUGAGAAGAGACAUGGCUUAUCUCAUCCAGAGCUUGCCCUACUCUCAUCUCUCCAUGCUUUUCAACAGCCACCAACUGCCUUCUCAGCCCUGGGAAGUAGAUGAGAAAUUCAAGCACAUGAGCAAGACAUUCCAAAACAUACAGGCUGUCAAAACAGAAGGGGACCUGGAUUAUACUAAGAAGACCUGUUGAAGGAGGAAUGACAGACAAGUUCGUACGCAGGCUUUAAUAGCUAUGCGGAGAAGAAAGUCUAUUCAAG